AGAGGAUUGAUGUAAUGGUAGCAUGACGGUCUCCAAAACCGUUCGUAAAGGUUCGAGUCCUUUAUUCUCUGCCA
rnacentral:tRNA from 1 species